GGCAAUAACUCCUAAAGAAAUCAACAGACCAUUUUGGUCUUGUUGACUUGUUUGUAGAUCUUACUUUGCUGAACAUUUUUGCUGUUUACAGUUUAUCUCUAUCUAUAAUAAUAUUCAAGAUAAUAACCAAAAACAGCAAAAUGUCCUUAAAAUUACCAAUUCAGGGGCAGCAACCUAUCAACGGGUUGUCCAAUUCAUCUCAAAAUUUCAGGGCAGAUAGAUCUUGACCUGAUAAACAAUUUUACCCGAUGUCAGAUUUGCUCUGAAUGCUUUGGUUUUUGAGUGAUAAGCCAAAAACUGCAUUUUACCCCUAUGUUCUAUUUUUAGCCAUGGCGGCCAUCUUGGUUGGUUGACCAGGUCACCGGACACAAUUUUUUAACUAGAUACCCCAAUGAUGAUUGUGGUCAAGUUUGGAUUAAUUUGGCCCAGUAGUUUCAGAGGAGAAGAUUUUUGUAAAAGAUGACUAAGAUUUACGUAAAAUGGUUAAAAAUUGACUAUAAAGGGCAAUAACUCCUAAAGGGGUCAACAGACCAUUUUGGUCAUGUUGACUUAUUU
rnacentral:lncRNA from 1 species